CCGUCUCAAGAAAAGAGCAGUUAAUGUAGCAAACCCAGG
rnacentral:tRNA from 1 species